rnacentral:misc_RNA from 1 species
CGUUGCAAUCAACUAAAAUUGGCCGAUUCUCGCAUAUAUUAGAACAAAAUUAAAAAUAACAUUUUUGCAUUGUGCAACAAUUUUUCACAUAAUAGCGCAUAUCAUAUUUAUUUCUCUAUAUUAAAAAUCACCUCAUUUAACUAUAAUCGUCAUGAACGAUAUGCAUGGUAUACAAAUUAAAAUAAAUUUCAUUAGAAAAUUUUAAUAAAUAUUAAUCCGUAGCAUCCUAUUAAUUUCAUUUCGAUUUACUGGAACCAGAAUUAGAUUAGAAAAUUAGAAUCAGUUUCCCUUCAUGUACGAAAUUGUAAAGAAUAAAAGCACGAAGAGUACGAUUUCAUCGGUCGCGUCAUUAUCAAAUAAAAAAUCUAACAUGUGUCUAUAAAAUAUUGAUUGCCGAUAAUAAGAACCAUCAUCGUUUUUCUAUAUUUACGCUUGAAUUUAUAACAAUUUUAGAAAAUGCUUUCUUUAACGUGCAACAAAAAUGAAUCAUUAAUUUUUAUUCAUUUCCUUAGAAAUAACGAAUUGUAUAUUUAGCGAAGUCAAAUAAUAAUUUUAAAAAUUACAGUACUAAAUGUAUUGUAAAUCAUUUUUUACGAUCGAGUAUAGUAAUAAUAAGAGUAAAAGUUUCCGACAUCGGUAAAAUAGAUAUAAAGACUAGAAUACAUCAACGAAGCGCACAAGUUAUCUACGAGUUUUCUAGUUUAGUAGAUGUAUACCGAGGAUGACGGUAAAAAGCUACACUUAUAUUCAUUCUUUCUCCCUAGAUUUUCUAGAUUUCCCUAAACUCUCGCUAGGCCACUUUCGUGGCUUUCCCUAGACAAUCCAUAGAUUUUCCGUAAGCCUCCCUAGAUCCUGUUCAGGCGUUAUUAGAUACAUCAGUCACUAUAUUACAAUGAAAUUAAACUUGCAAAGCGAAUUUUGUCUACAUCGUCGCUAACUGCUCUAUCAAUGUAAUUUUGGUCUUAGAGUCGUAGCAACUAGAUGGUGAACAAUUUACAGGAAUAUAGUAAAGGCAUAUAGGACGCAAAAAUUAGUAUAGUUCAGCGACAAUUCUAUAAAUACAUAAAACGUAAGAAUUAGUAGAAGGCACUCGACUCGUUUCUCCUCGAAAGGGAAUGAGAACCUCUGACGGAGGAAAUACGGUUGCGUGGCUGAGGAGACGCAUGCGUGGAGUCGGGUUGAGGUGUUGCAGGCGCACGACUCAACGAGCAACAGAGUGCUGUGUGUACACCCCCGCCCACGUAUUAUUAUUCGACUGGCUCGUAACCACGCUUCACGGUGAGAUCGCGAACGACCACGAGUAUCCGGACGAUUCGCCACCGACCAGAUAAUGAAUCCACUAUUCGCGGAGGACCAACCGCGUCCGCUCGACAGAAGCACGUAAGAAGGCUUUAAUGUGACACAAGGACGAGCAUGAUUCUGGCUGGAUCAGACCAUUUUCUGGCGGUACCUGUGGAAGCGACAGCAUUUCUGGGUGCCGUAGCUGGCUUCGUGGUCCUUCUGUUGGCACUGUUCCUCUACCUGUCCCGCAAAUGGUGUUUCACACCGCCGUCCACCAGCACCCUUUUCGGCGGCGUUUGCGUGCCCCUCUGCGAGUCCAACAAUAGCUCCACCUCUCAGAUCGCGAAAAACAUAGGAAAGACAUUUUCCUACUCGGAUCCAGAGACCAGUUCCGAUUCGGAAGAGGACGCCCUUCGCCGAUUGAACUCGCAUUCUCAUCCACCGCCGGACACUCUCACUAUCCAAGCGGAGGAUGGACCAACCAUCCUGGACGCAGGUACCACCUCCAGCAGCUGCACAGAGGAGCAUUCGCCGAGCGAUCAACAGCAGUGCGUGGUAGAAGUCGGAGCUUCGAGUAUUUUACUCGACGCCAGGGAACAGGAGGUAGAAGUCGAGCAAAAUGGACCCACGACCAACGACGUUAUCGCAACGAUGGGCACCGUCACGGAGGAAGUGGGUAGCCUGGAGGUCGCAUUCUUAUACGACGCACCUAUGCGCGAGAUGACUGUGCACGUGUUACAAGGACGAAAUUAUCCGGAAGGCAUAGGCGGUAGUCAAGUACGACUGGUACUCUUGCCAUCGAAAAAGCAACGACGUAAGACGCGGGUACGUCAGGGUACCUGUCCACAAUACAUGGAGAGUUUCCUGUUACCGCGUGUCAAUCCGGAAGACGUGAACGCCAUGGGUGUACGCUUGAGAGUGUAUCUAUGGGGCGGAAGAAUGCGUCGAGAGAGACUGCUCGGCGAAGCCAGAGUUUCCUUCGAUCAAAUCAAUCUUCAACUCGAGACGACGCUUUGGUUGACGCUACAACCGCCACCCUCUUCAUCGGUACAAGAUUGGGGAACAACUAGCAGUCUGACCCGCAGCGAUUCCACGGGGUCACAGCAGUCCGUUCAAUCGUACGCGUCACCUACGGUACCUCCUUACGGUAGCAGCAUGAAGGGUGGAAGCGUGGCGGAGAUUUUGAUUGGAUUGGCAUAUAACGGCACGACCGGACGUUUGUCGGUAGAAAUAAUCAAAGGAUCACACUUUCGAGGAGGUGGAGGAAACGACACGAAACCACCCGACACUUAUGUUAAGCUCGCCCUCGUGGACAGCAACGAUCACGAAAUGGGACGAUCGAAGACUGGUUUGAAGCGUGCUCAGCCCAAUCCUCUUUACAAGGAAACGUUCAUGUUCCAGGUUGCUCUGUUCCAACUUGGAGACGUGACGUUGUUCCUGUCGGUGUACAAUCGACGAAGAGGAGGAAUGGGAAGGAAGGGAAGAGAGAUGAUCGGUUGGCUGAGCUUGGGAUUAAACAGCUCCGGUUCGGAGGAGCUUCAGCAUUGGAACGAUAUGCGUGCCGCGAGACAACCGACGCAAGUUCAACGCUGGCACACGUUGCUACGCCCUUGAGACAACCGAUCAUGAACGAGUUCCUGUUACGGAGAAACAUUUUUACGUGUUUAACGAUUUACGAGUAUAUACGGUUCGAUCGAUAGAAAGAAAGAGGCCGCGGGCCGUGAAUACGCAUGGUUGAGAUCGGAUCAGGAUACAUCUCGAGGAGGAACGGCGAGCUUCCAUCGAAUCGCCGUCGUGUACUGCCCGAAAAACCGAAUAUACAGAAGUCAAUAAUGUCGGUCUGUCGAACCUGCGAGAAUCAGACGAUGCUGUCAUAAUUUUUUAAAAAGCACCUGUGCUAAAACUCUGAGUUCAAAACUCUUAUCGAUGUACCAAGUACACUCCUUUUUGAUACGCCGGACGGAGUUGAGGGUGUUUUCAGCAUACAUAUUACGCCGCGUGUCCGUCGACGGAGAAUCGUCGUGGGAUAACCGGAGUCGAGUCGAGAGCCCCGUUACGAAUCCUCUAAGUCGUUCACCUUUGGACGAGCUAACUAUAAGCGAACCUAUAACCUCUCGACUCCGCGACACUUUUCAACGGAUAUUCGAUUCGCAACGGUUGCUCGUACGUACGUAUGCCAUGUAUGAGCCGUAUACGACGAAUCUUGUUGUUCCGAGCACAUGGUUCGAGAAUGGAUUGACGCGCAACCGUCAGAGGUUUAUCCCUUGUUCGUGGAUGUUUCUCGAGCACGGUGCCGAUCAGUGAGAAUGUUUCGAGUGGAACGCGAGGCUGUGAAACUCUUCUGUAAAUCUUUGCUUUUUCUUUUCAUUGCACGCGACGCGUUAUUUUCGUACGGUCACUUUCUUCGAUGAUACAGUACUGCCUUUCUGUAUGGCUGGGGUUCGUUGCUAGGUUCGACCAGGGACCCGCGAAAAGUUGCUUCGAAUCGCGGCUCGGGAUCGGAAACGGUUCAGUUUCGAAGCAGGUAGCUGUCCUUGCAUUUGGAUUCGACGAUGUCGUCCAAUCAUAACUUUCUUCGUUUUCGAUUCUACAGAAUGACCAUAACAAAUAGCACGAGAUAGAGAUGGAAGUAUCGUAGGCUUUAGACGAUCUCGACGAUCGCGCGUUACUUAGGGAAAUGGAAAUUUUACCAUCAGAAGAGGCAAUAACGUUUUACUGUCGUAGAAUAUUUCAGAAGCGGGGUUUUGUCGAUUCCGGAGGCAGUGUUACGUUACUACUAGCUUCUGUUGAAUACUAGGUAUCUAGCAAAAGUACACGUUUGCCACGUAGGGAGGCAAUAUUUAUUUCCGUCUUGAUAGAAUAUCGAGAAUUAAUGGGCAUGUCACUCGGUCUUUUACAACUCCUCGUGAAAUAUCGAAAACUUGGAGGGGAUGACCACUUGCCACACAGGGAGACAAUACUAUAUUAUCGGGUUGAUCGAAGAAACGAAACGAGUGACGAUACGAAGUUGAGUACGUGCCGGGGAGGAUGACUUGUCGCUUAGGAAGACUGCAGACCUAAUACGGGAAUGACGAUUUGUCUUUCAGAAACGUUGUAAAGGGACCUGGUGGGAAUAACGACUUAUCACUUAGGAAGAUAGUAUCAGGGAUUUGGUAGGGACGACGACAGGUUACUUAGGAAGCCAUAAUUGGAAACGAUUACUGGAAACGACUCGUAAGCUAGAAAGACAAUAUUAGGGACCUGGUGGGGAUAACGACUUGUCGCUUAAGCUAACGAAGCUACAUGAAUAAACUGUAUUCAGAAAAUGGCGGGAACUUGACGACGAUAAAGACUUGUCAUUUAAAAGGAUAGAAACCUUACCCACUUAGAGUGACAAUACUGUAUCAACUAGAGGGUUCGAUAAAGCAUUUCAUCGAAGAUCCUAGAUUUCCUUAGAUCAUCGUUGCUAUCAUCGCAUAGACGCAACGCUUCAACGGUUAUCACCUCGUGUCUUGAAUGUUCGCGCGUGCACGAUAUCGGCUGAUCUCGAGGGGUUAAACGGUGAAACGACGAAUGGCGAAAACGAGGAACGUAUACGAGGAUAGAUUCACAAUUCAAUGACGCACAAUAAACUCGCAGAAAAAAAAGUAAACGCACCCCGUAAACGCAGAUGUGAUCGUAGAGUUGAUAUUAACUUAAAAUACUAACAUUUAGGAUGCAUACACUCGAUCACGAGGUUACACGAUAGAGAUAGAGAGACGUAAUCACCUUGAACGCGUUUCUAAUUAGAAGGGAAUUGGUUACCGGGCGAAGCGGACGACUGAUCAACGGACAAACAGAUGCUGUGAAUCGUAAACGCUUGACUUUUUCAAGCUUUAGCGUUUUAGGUAAUUUCAAACGACGAUUAAUCCAUGCUCGAACUAUUCUCACGUUUACGUACGUAGACACAUUGUGUAACGCGAUUGCAAGGGCUCAGAAGUUCCCACAUUUUUCGGUACGUGUACGUAUGAAAUCGUCCCUUGUUCACGUGCAAGCAGGACCGCCGAUAGAAUUUACGGGAUCCGGGACAAAAAUCGAACAUUCGAUUACGGGAAUUUACGCGUUUAGAGUUUUUGACGUUGCGUCGGAUUAGAAAAUCUAGCCUAAGCGUAAUCCAAAGCCAAUCGAAACUCGACUUAUGCAACCGUAGUUAUAGUUUUCGCCUGGUCAGCGUCUAGAUCCUAGAAUCGUAUUUCGUUGACCGAGAACAAAAAUAAUACCAAGCGGUUUAUUUCAUUUUUACAAACUACGAAUAUGUUAAAUGCGAAGUCCUCUAACGUUGACACACGGCAGCGAAGUGCUCCCGCUAACGGCGGUGUUGCGUGCUAACGUUCUUUUUACGAUAAGACGCUCUCUUCUUAACACAAUCUCAACGACAAACGCCUUUUUCGAUUAUAGAAUACGUCGCCAAUAAUAAAUACUCGAUAAAUCGUAGCCUCGUUGCGUUAGUUCAAGAGAUUUUGAAAGACGCUCCGCGAGAACGAGAAAAAGUGUGUAUUAGGAACAUAUGUACGGAUAGAUCGAUGUGAUGGGUAUCCGAGUUUUGGAUAGGGUUCGGAGAAAAUCGGAUAACAGGCCAAAAGUUAAGGGUAAACUCUUCUAAAUCGCGAGUGAUUUUAAAGGAUACCCAGCACACCUCUGCCUUACAAGUUUCUCCCGAUUUCUCUCGAUCCGAGUUCCUAAUCUCGAAUAUCCACGCAUCGCUAGCGCGUAUGCGUUCGCAUAAUUCUACUUUUGGUAAAUUUUAAAUCCGUAGCAUCUUACCUAGCAUUUUAUUAGGAUACUUUCGACUUCUGAGUCCUGGUAACAUAAUUAUAUAUUGUACAGUCUGUUUAUAAACAACACGAUGUCGAAAUAGGGAUUCGAGAAAAUGUUUGUUACGAAAAAAAAAACGCGUAUGUUAGUGUUCUCGUGGAUUGAUCGAUCGCACGCGAUUACCAACAGGAUCAGAAAGUUUUUCGAAGUAUUUACGAUAAUUAAUUAACGAGUAGGGCUUUUUUCAGGGUAAUUUCUACGCCUUUGACUGUUUUCAAUUUGUUACGAUAUAGUUGUAAUUAUAUCGAGGUAUAUCGAAGCAUACGACCGGCUUUUUCUUGCGGAACGUGAACGAAGAAUUGUUGAUCGAGAAAACGCUUGAAAUAUCUGAUGAUGGCGAAAAGAAUGCGUGGAACGAUUACAUUCUUCAUUUUUGUUAUUAUCUGUUAGGUUGUUGUAGAUCAAAUGGCUGAUUUCUUCACAAAAUCUGCAUUUAGUAAUGUUGUAUUGUGUACUCGGUUCACUAGACUAUUGUAUAGUUUGGUUCACGUAGUUAUAUUAAAACACUGAUAGAUUUUAUUAGAAAGUAUUUUCAUUAAAAUCUUACUUUUCGAGUAUUUCACUUCGAUACAUGUUUAGGUGUAAUCUAUAAUCAGUCAUUUUUUAUUAAGAAUAUUAAUGUAACGUUUAUAUAGUUGUUUUCAUUCAAUUUUAAGCUUCAAAUCGAUGUACUGUAAAUGCUUUUUUGCCUAUCAGUUAUUUGAUACGCAACAGCUUAAUUGUAUAGGAUUUGGCAAGUAUGAAUGUAUACAGCGAAGAUAUUCGUAAUUCUUAUUCUCCGAUGUUCUAUUCUAUUGUGUCGCUUUCUCGAGUGUUCGGUGCUUACACUGUCAAUGAGAAAAAUGAAAAAAAAAGAGGAACAAACAAAGAAACAAAAAAAGUAAGGAUCGCGAGGAUUAUAAACAGACUACCGUUGGAUUUUUAUCUAUAUUUUAUCUACAGCACUCUUUCUCGAAUAAGUAUUAAUUGAAGUUUGAACGUCUACUGCACAAAAUAAUUACCUUAAUCAAUGUUAUUACUUAUAAAUUAAUAAUGAUAAUUAUUAUUAUAUCUGUCGCGUUUUAUAAAAGUGUACUCUAAUACAAUUAAACAAAUAAACUUACAAAUAGUUGUUAUCGAAGGCAAAGAAAAAAAAAGUGAAAAA